rnacentral:rRNA from 1 species
UACGUAGGGUGCGAGCGUUGUCCGGAAUUAUUGGGCGUAAAGAGCUCGUAGGCGGUUUGUUGCGUCGGCUGUGAAAUCCCGAGGCUCAACCUCGGGUCUGCAGUCGAUACGAGCAAACUAGAGUGUUGCAGGGGAGACUGGAAUUCCUGGUGUAGCGGUGAAAUGCGCAGAUAUCAGGAGGAACACCAAUGGCGAAGGCAGAUCUCUGGGCCGUAACUGACGCUGAGGAGCGAAAGCAUGGGGAGCGAACAGG